CCGCUGCGCGAUUUAGUUCAAUUUUUGUCGCUUGGUAAGUGGGUUGUGUGCGCGCGUGCAAUUUCUGCUCCAUCCAUUACAAUAGCACUAACAACAGACAUCACAUAACUCAAUCGGAGUGCGGGCUAAAUUGCAUUGAAGCGGAUGUGUUUUGCGCCGCGUUCGGCACAAAGUUGCAUUGAUAUGAAACUCAAAAUGUGACUCCGGCUCUGGACGAAUAUUAAAUCUUUCAGCGGCAAUUGCAAAAAUAAAAU